rnacentral:rRNA from 1 species
UACAGAGGGGGCAAGCGUUGUUCGGAAUUACUGGGCGUAAAGGGCGCGUAGGCGGCCCGCUAAGUCGAACGUGAAAUCCCCGAGCUCAACUCGGGAACUGCGUCCGAUACUGGAUGGCUUGAAUCCGGGAGAGGGAUGCAGAAUUCCAGGUGUAGCGGUGAAAUGCGUAGAUAUCUGGAGGAAUACCGGUGGCGAAGGCGGCAUCCUGGACCGGCAUUGACGCUGAUGAGCGAAAGCUAGGGGAGCAAACGGG